rnacentral:misc_RNA from 1 species
AAGUCGUAACAAGGUUUCCGUAGGUGAACCUGCGGAAGGAUCAUUAGUGAAUUUUAGGGUGCCUUACUAUUUCGAUAGUUAAGGGCCUGACCUCCACUCUCUAACACUUGUGCACUAAAAAUUAGUGAUUGAAAAAGUUCUUUUAAGUAAGGACUUGACUAGAUCACUUUUUUCCAUAUUACAAUACUCUAAAGUUAAAGAAUGUAACAAAAACAUAACAAAAUAAAACUUUCAACAACGGAUCUCUUGGCUCUC